rnacentral:tRNA from 3 species
AGGGGGGUAGUUCAAUGGUAGAACAACGGUCUCCAAAACCGUGAAUGCUCGUUCGAAUCGGGCCCGUCCUGCCA